rnacentral:rRNA from 1 species
AUGUCCCAUCCAUCCUUUCUCUGCUGCCGCCACCCCGUGUCUCAUCUUCCACACCGGGAUCCCCUCACUCAAUCUCCCUCGAUCCCCUCGCCCAGCCAAGCCAUCGAGCGCCUCCUCCUCCCUGUUCGAUCCAGAGGAGUGGAGCUCCUCCGCGCCCACGCCUCCUCGCAACCUACUUCCUCCAAGGCCGCCCUUCCUCGCAUCGAUCUGGAGCCCGAUGCCCUCUGCACCUCGUUCCCUCCUCCCGUGCCUCGAUCCAGGAUGGAUCGGAAGCAGCACCGACCAGGACCAGGCCGUCCCCGCGCCGCACCCUGCCUCUCCUUCUCUUUUCCUUCUUCCCCUGGUUCUUCUCUCUCCCUCACCCCGCGGUCUCUCUCUCUUUCUUCAGGGAGAACAGGAGCAUGCCCCGCCAUGGCCGCCUUGUCCCGGAGCAAGCUCGUCGGCGUCCUUCGUCGUCCUUCGCCUAGCGCCGCCACGGAUCCGGAGAACGCCAAGUGCCGCCGACGACCUCCAUCUUCCCAUCGCUGCGCCAAGUCCCUCGCCCCGCCUCUGCUUCCUUGCUCCAAAUCGAAUGCCAAGCCGCCGCCCUAG